GGUUAGAGGUGUUGGUCGAGUUUUUAGGUGACGGGCCAAAUUUGAAUUUUUGGAUCUUUGCUCGAAAUCCAAUUAUGACGGUACCAUUGGAUUCAUCUCGUCGAACGGAGUCCAAUGCACCAAACAGCGCCUAAUCGGAGUUCAAAUGAGCCCAGAAAUCGCGGUCAAAGUUUGGUCAACUUUGCCGGAGGUUCGCCGGGAACUCGCCGGAGAAGACGACCGGUCAAUUGUAGCGAACCAGUCAACUCUCUGAAAUUGCAGAGUGGUCCCUCAACUUUCAAAAAUUAUAGUUUUGCCCCUAUAGUGGAAUUUCAUCCACGAAGUGUCAAUUCCACCAUUUUCGACAGUUCCGCAACUCGCCGGAGAAGACAACCGUCGCAGGAAAUUUCGCCGAAGUAGACGGCCGGUCAACUGUAGUGAACCAAUCAACUCUCUGAAAUUACAGAUUGGUCCCUCAACUUUUAAAAAUUAUAGUUUUGCCCCUAUAGUGAAAUUUCAGCCACGGAGUGUUAAUUCCACAAUUUUCGACCGUUCCGGACGCAAUGGUGAACUUCGUGUUUAAAGAUUCAACCCCGAUCGUGUUGAAAAAUUAUUUUGUAAGAUGAUAAAGUCCACAGAAGAGUCAGCAUCAUCUUUCGGAGCCAUGAUUACGCUUACUGCCACAAAUUACACGCUAUGGAGACCUAGGAUGGAAGAUCUCCUAACUUGUAAAGACUUGUUUGAUCCCAUAGAAUUGAUGGGUAAAAUUCCUGAUCCCACCAAGGAGUUAGAGCGGAAGAAAUCAAAUCGAAAAACAAUUGGUCAAAUCCGUCAUAUCACCUAAGCUGUAAAAAUUUGUUUGAUCCCAUAGAACUGAUGGGUAAAAAUCCUGAUCCCACCAAGGAGUUAGAGUGGAAAAAAUCAAAUCGAAAAACUAUUGGUCAAAUCCGUCAAUGGAUUGAUCAUAGUGUGUUCCACCAAAUUGCACAAGAAACAGACGCAUAUACCCUCUGGAAGAAGUUGGAAGACAUGUACCAGGACAAGACCGCUCGGAAUAAGGCCGUAUUGAUGAGGCGCUUAGUCAACAGGAAGCUAAAAAAUGAAACUUCAAUUGCCGAGCAUACCAGUGAGUUCCAAAACCUGGUCAACCAGUUGUCGUCUGUAGAGAUGCCACUUAGCGAUGAAGUUCAGGC
rnacentral:lncRNA from 1 species